rnacentral:rRNA from 1 species
AUGACGCCCAUCCCUCCCAUGACGGGGAGGGCCGAGGUGGCCUGUCCAUCCUCUCCUGCCAUAGGGCAGGAGUUGGCGGGGUCGACCAAGGAGAUGGAGGCAUACACGAUGGACUCUUCCAUUGUUGCCAAUCACCUUGUCCUACUGGGUGCGGCGCUGCAGAGUUACUGGUCCGCAGAGGCCGGUAUCAAGGAGGCCUUCAGGGGCCACUAUCAUGGUUUUGAGAUUUUGGCCUCGGUUUUGGCAUCCAAUGCGAAAGAGUUGGAGGAGCUAAACCAAAAGCCCGACCGGUCAAGAAGGAUGCGGAUCUGCUCAAGAAGCAGAUGGAGGUUGCUGAAGCUGGAAAAGCUCCGAUCCGAGCUGAAAACGGCUCGGCAAGUGGCCGAACAGCAAAGGGCCACGGCAGAGAGGGCCAACACAGAGCUGGUGAAGGAAAAGCAGGUCAGCGAGAGGCACGUGGCCCGGGUUGCCGAGGUUGAAGAAAACCUGAAAGGCUUUUGCGCACAGCGUGAUGCUCUUUAG